rnacentral:rRNA from 1 species
UACGUAGGGUGCAGGCGUUAAUCGGAAUUACUGGGCGUAAAGCGUGCGCAGGCGGUCUUUUAAGUCAGAUGUGAAAUCCCCGGGCUUAACCUGGGAACUGCGUUUGAAACUGGAAGGCUUGAGUGUGGCAGGAGGGGGUGAAAUUCCACGUGUAGCAGUGAAAUGCGUAGAUAUGUGGAGGAACACCGAUGGCGAAGGCAGCCCCCUGGGCUAACACUGACGCUCAUGCACGAAAGCGUGGGGAGCAAACAGG